rnacentral:tRNA from 1 species
GGCUGUAACCCAUUAGUGGGCUUGUCGUUUGUGUCAUGAAGGCAACGGAUUGCAAAUCCGUCAUCGUCGGUUCGACUCCGACCGGAGCCU